GUAGCCUUGCGCCUUCGAGGUUCUUCGGCCAGUGGUCGAAGCUAAGACGGGAACGCGGUAGAAGCCGCGGCUGCCCCCGCAACUGUGAAGGGUUUCAUUCCUGCAAGGCCACUGCCUGGCGUCCACGACGCCGGUGGGAAGGCACAGGAAAUGUCAGUCCAUGACUGACAAGCCCCCAGCCAGGAGACCUGCCUCGACCCAGAUUCUCAC
rnacentral:ncRNA from 2 species